rnacentral:tRNA from 1 species
GGCGCUCCUGGAGCGGCUGGGCUAGGGCCUGUCCGACCUUUGGCGUCGGAUCAGGCCGGGUCGUCCGGUGUGUGCGCCC